UGGGGUGUAGCUCAGAUGGUAGAGCGCGCGCUUAGCAUGCGCGAGGUACCGGGAUCGAUACCCGGCACCUCCA
rnacentral:tRNA from 1 species